rnacentral:rRNA from 1 species
GCAUAUCAAUAAGCGGAGGAAAAGAAACCAACAGGGAUUGCCUUAGUAACUGCGAGUGAAGCGGCAAAAGCUCAAAUUUGAAAUCUGGCGUCUUCGACGUCCGAAUUGUAAUUUGGAGAGACAUCUUCGGAGUAGACGCCGUCCUAAGUUCCUUGGAACAGGACGUCACAGAGGGUGAGAAUCCCGUGCCUGGAUGGCUGUUCUACUUCAUGUGAAGUGUCUUCGACGAGUCGAGUUGUUUGGGAAUGCAGCUCAAAAUGGGAGGUAAAUUUCUUCUAAAGCUAAAUAUUGGCGAGAGACCGAUAGCGCACAAGUAGAGUGAUCGAAAGAUGAAAAGCACUUUGAAAAGAGAGUUAAAAAGUACGUGAAAUUGUUGAAAGGGAAGCGCUUGAGACCAGACUCGAUCAGUGGUGAUCAGCGGUGCUUCUGUACCGUGCACUUGCCAUUGAUUGGGCCAGCAUCGGUUUAGACGGCGGGAUAAAGACCUAAGGAAUGUGGCUCCUCUCGGGGAGUGUUAUAGCCUUGGGUGCAAUGCCGCCAGUUUGGACCGAGGACCGCGCUUCGGCUAGGAUGCUGGCGUAAUGGUCUUCAGCGACCCGUCUUGAAACACGGACCAAGGAGUCUAACAUCUAUGCGAGUGUUCGGGUGGAAAACCCUUGCGCGUAAUGAAAGUGAACGGAGGUGAGAACACUUCGGUGUGCAUCAUCGACCGAUCCAGAUGUCUUCGGAUGGAUUUGAGUAUGAGCAUAGCUGUUGGGACCCGAAAGAUGGUGAACUAUGCCUGAAUAGGGUGAAGCCAGAGGAAACUCUGGUGGAGGCUCGCAGCGGUUCUGACGUGCAAAUYGMUCGUCAUAAYUYGGGYAUMGGGGCGAAAGACUAAUCGAACCAUCUAGUAGCUGGUUCCUGCCGAAGUU